rnacentral:rRNA from 1 species
CGGGGUGAGUAACGCGUGGAUAACCUGCCUCACACUGGGGGAUAACAGUUAGAAAUGGCUGCUAAUACCGCAUAAGCGCACAGUACCGCAUGGUACGGUGUGAAAAACUCCGGUGGUGUGAGAUGGAUCCGCGUCUGAUUAGUUAGUUGGCGGGGUAACGGCCCACCAAGACAGCGAUCAGUAGCCGACCUGAGAGGGUGACCGGCCACAUUGGGACUGAGACACGGCCCAA